rnacentral:rRNA from 1 species
CUUAUUUUUCCUAAGAGUGACGGGCGAUAUGUGCAUGAAAAAUUUCAUUUUCAAUUAAAAUUUUUUUUUUUAUUUUUAUUUUUAAGUCCUCUUUCUUACUUUGUUUUUCUGAAUGUCCAUUAGAUUUUUAAUGUAUCCCACUUCUUCUACAUAAUUUUCCUUGUAUUGAUUUGUUUUAUUAUUUUUAAAAUUUUUAAAACUGUUGGGUAAUUCUAUUUUUUAAAACAAUAAUAUGAGUAAUUAUAUAUCUAGUGACUUUUAUCGUGGGCUAUCGAUCACAGUGCAGGAUCCCCUAAUAUGAUUUUUCACCGCCAUUUUAAUUAGAUUUUUUCUAUUUAAAUACUCUCUGUUUUCAUUUUAAAA